CCCUGCUCCGGGCCUGGCCCCAUGCUGUUGCUGGAGAGUCAGAAAUGAGUCAGACACAGCCCCUGUCUACAAAGAGCUGAACUGGCCCAAAGAAGAGCCAAGGACGUUGUCACAGCAAACUGCACUAGGAGUGCAGAAACCCGGGUUCUUUCCUGAGCCCUAAAACCUAAGUGCUGGGAAACCUUGAACAAGCCACACCUCCCAUCUCCAGAACUUGUCUACAGGCAGAAUGAGGACCUUGAACUUGCUGGUCUCUAUGACUUGAAGCUAUUUCCUCUUCAGAUGUGUUGACUCCUUUGCCCAGUGCUCUCUGGGAGCAGUCUGCAGGGCACAGGAUAAUUAGGGGAGGUUAUACCAGAGCCACUGCCUUCUGAGCUAUAA
rnacentral:lncRNA from 10 species